rnacentral:rRNA from 1 species
GACGAACGCUGGCGGCGUGCCUAAUACAUGCAAGUCGAACGCUUCUUUUCCCACCGGAGCUUGCUCCACCGGGAAAAGGGGAGUGGCGAACGGGUGAGUAACACGUGGGUAACCUGCCCAUCAGAAGGGGAUAACACUUGGAAACAGGUGCUAAUACCGUAUAACAAUCGAAACCGCAUGGUUUCGUUUUGAAAGGCGCUUUACGGUGCCGCUGAUGGAUGGACCCGCGGUGCAUUAGCUAGUUGGUGAGGUAACGGCUCACCAAGGCCACGAUGCAUAGCCGACCUGAGAGGGUGGUCGGCCACAUUGGGACUGAGACACGGCCCAAACUCCUACGGGAGGCAGCAGUAGGGAAUCUUCGGCAAUGGACGAAAGUCUGACCGAGCAACGCCGCGUGAGUGAAGAAGGUUUUCGGAUCGUAAAACUCUGUUGUUAGAGAAGAACAAGGGUGAGAGUAACUGUUCACCCCUUGACGGUAUCUAACCAGAAAGCCACGGCUAACUACGUGCCAGCCGCCGCCGUAA